rnacentral:tRNA from 1 species
GGGAAGGUGGCUCAGUGGUAGAGUACUUGCCUUGCAUGCAUGAGGCCCUGAGAUCCAUUCCU